CCCAAAAUUCUUGNGUCCCAAAAUUCUUGUCUUAGAUUUGUCUAGAUACAGAUGUAUCAAGUCACAUUUUAGUAUUAGAUACAUCCGUAUCUAGACAAAUCUAAGACAAGAAAUUUGGGACAGAGGGAGUAGUUG
rnacentral:pre_miRNA from 1 species